rnacentral:rRNA from 1 species
UACAGAGGUCCCAAGCGUUGUUCGGAUUCACUGGGCGUAAAGGGUGCGUAGGUGGUGAGGUAAGUCGGAUGUGAAAUCUCGGAGCUCAACUCCGAAAUGGCAUUGGAAACUACCUUGCUCGAGGGAUGGAGGGGGGACUGGAAUUCUCGGUGUAGCAGUGAAAUGCGUAGAUAUCGAGAGGAACACCAGUGGCGAAGGCGGCUCACUGGAUCGGUACUGACGCUGAGGUGCGAAAGCGUGGGGAGCAAACAGG